UUGAGGGGGGUUGCUCCUAGUACGAGAGGACCGGAGUGAACGCACCACUGGUGUUCGGGUUGUCAUGCCAAUGGCAUUGCCCGGUAGCUAAGUGCGGAAAAGAUAAGUGCUGAAAGCAUCUAAGCACGAAACUUGCCCCGAGAUGAGUUCUCCCUGACUCCCAGAGAGUCCUGAAGGGACGUUGAAGACGACGACGUUGAUAGGCCGGAUGUGUAAGUGCAGCGAUGCAUUGAGCUAACCGGUACUAAUGACCCGUGAGGCUUAACCU
rnacentral:rRNA from 1 species